rnacentral:rRNA from 1 species
UACGGAGGGGGCUAGCGUUGUUCGGAAUUACUGGGCGUAAAGCGCACGUAGGCGGCUUUGUAAAGUUAGAGGUGAAAGCCCGGAGCUCAACUCCAGAACUGCCUUUGAUACUGAGAGUCUUGAGUCCGGGGAGAGGUGAGUGGAACUGCGAAGUGUAGAGGUGAAAAUUCGUAGAUAUUCGCAAGAACACCAGUGGCGAAGGCGGCUCACUGGCCCGGUACUGACGCUGAGGUGCGAAAAGCGUGGGGAGCCAAACAGG